rnacentral:rRNA from 1 species
CACUCCUGCGGGAGGCAGCAGUGGGGAAUUUUACGCAAUGGGGGAAACCCUGACGUAGCGACACCGCGUGAGCGAAGAAGCCCUUUGGGGUGUAAAGCUCUGUCAGCUGGAACGAAAACAAUGACGGUACCAGCAGAGGAAGCAUCGGCUAACUACGUGCCAGCAGCCGCGGUAAGACGUAGGAUGCGAGCGUUGUCCGGAUUUAUUGGGCGUAAAGAGUUCGUAGGUGGUUUGUUAAGUUUGGUGUUAAAGAUCGGGGCUCAACCCUGGGACUGCACUGAAUACUGGCAGACUCGAGUGUGGUAGAGGCUAGUGGAAUUCCCAGUGUAGCGGUGAAAUGCGUAGAUAUUGGGAAGAACACCGGUGGCGUAGGCGACUAGCUGGGCCAUAACUGACGCUGAGGAACGAAAGCCAGGGGAGCGAAUGGGAUUAGAAACCCCAGUAGUCCC